UGAGGAAUAUUGGUCAAUGGGCGUAAGCCUGAACCAGCCAAGUAGCGUGCAGGAAGACGGCCCUACGGGUUGUAAACUGCUUUUAUGCGGGGAUAAAGUGCAAUACGUGUAUUGCUUUGCAGGUACCGCAUGAAUAAGGACCGGCUAAUUCCGUGCCAGCAGCCGCGGUAAUACGGAAGGUCCGGGCGUUAUCCGGAUUUAUUGGGUUUAAAGGGAGCGCAGGCCACCCCUUAAGCGUGUUGUGAAAUGCCGCGGCUCAACCGUGGCACUGCAGCGCGAACUGGGGCGGGCUUGAGUGCGCCGGAGGUAGGCGGAAUUCGUGGUGUAGCGGUGAAAUGCUUAGAUAUCACGAAGAACUCCGAUUGCGAAGGCAGCCUACCGUAGCGUUACUGACGCUGAGGCUCGAAGGUGCGGGUAUCGAACAGGAUUAGAUACC
rnacentral:rRNA from 1 species